rnacentral:snRNA from 1 species
GUACCUUUCUCGGCCUUUUGGCUAAGAUCAAGUGUAGUAUCUGUUCUUAUCAGUUUAAUAUCUGAUAUGUGGACUAUUUGUCCACUUUGAUAUUAAAUUUGUUUUUUGGGGGAGAGCUCACUGUAGUGGCUUGCCACUCGGGCCCUCGUGUGUUGCUUGGACGUUGCACUGCUGCCCAUGCGUAGCGUACCCAAU